GGACGAACGCUGGUGGCGUGCUUAACACAUGCAAGUCGAACGGAAAGGCCCCUUUGGGGGUACUCGAGUGGCGAACGGGUGAGUAACACGUGAGUAACCUGCCCUUGACUUCGGGAUAACUUCAGGAAACUGGGGCUAAUACCGGAUAGGAAUCCUUGCUGCAUGGUGGGGGUUGGAAAGCUUCGGCGGUUUUGGAUGGGCUCGCGGCUUAUCAGCUUGUUGGUGGGGUAGUGGCUUACCAAGGCUUUGACGGGUAGCCGGCCUGAGAGGGCGACCGGCCACAUUGGGACUGAGAUACGGCCCAGACUCCUACGGGAGGCAGCAGUGGGGAAUAUUGCACAAUGGGCGGAAGCCUGAUGCAGCAACGCCGCGUGCGGGAUGACGGCCUUCGGGUUGUAAACCGCUUUCAGCAGGGGCGAAGCUUGUGGUGACGGUACCUGCAGAAGAAGCACCGGCUAACUACGUG
rnacentral:rRNA from 1 species